rnacentral:rRNA from 1 species
CACGUAGUUAGCCGGUGCUUAUUCUUUGGGUACUCUCAUAAUCUCCAGCUCUUAACCAGAUACCUUUGCUCCCCAACAAAAGUCCUUUACAACCCGAAGGCCUUCUUCAGACACGCGGCAUGGCUGGAUCAGGGUUCCCCCCAUUGUCCAAAAUUCCCCACUGCUGCCUCCCGUAGGAGUCUGGGCCGUCUCUCAGUCCCAGUGUGGCGGAUCAUCCUCUCAGACCCGCUACUGAUCGUCGCCUUGGUAAGCCUUUACCUCACCAACUAGCUAAUCAGACAUUGGCCGCUCUUAUAUCGCCAGGUCAAACGAUCCCCAGCUUUCCCCCUCAGGGCGUAUGCGGUAUUAGCUAAGCUUUCGCUCAGUUAUCCCCCAAUACAAGGCACGUUCCAAUGCAUUACUCACCCGUUCGCCACUCGCCACCAAGUGCAAGCACUCGUGCUGCCGUUCGACUUGCAUGUGUAAAGCAUGCCGCAGCGUUCAUCUGAGCCA